AGUGGACGCUGGCGGUAGGCCUAACACAUGCAAGUCGAACGGCAGCACAGUAAGAGCUUGCUCUUACGGGUGGCGAGUGGCGGACGGGUGAGGAAUACAUCGGAAUCUACUUUUUCGUGGGGGAUAACGUAGGGAAACUUACGCUAUUACCGCAUACGACCUACGGGUGAAAGCAGGGGAUCUUCGGACCUUGCGCGAUUGAAUGAGCCGAUGUCGGAUUAGCUAGUUGGCGGGGUAAAGGCCCACCAAGGCGACGAUCCGUAGCUGGUCUGAGAGGAUGAUCAGCCACACUGGAACUGAGACACGGUCCAGACUCCUACGGGAGGCAGCAGUGGGGAAUAUUGGACAAUGGGCGCAAGCCUGAUCCAGCCAUACCGCGUGGGUGAAGAAGGCCUUCGGGUUGUAAAGCCCUUUUGUUGGGAAAGAAAAGCAGCAGGUUAAUACCCCGCUGUUCUGACGGUACCCAAAGAAUAAGCACCGGCUAACUUCGUG
rnacentral:rRNA from 1 species